GAACAAGAGCGAGUGACGGCCUGUUGGGUGUUUUGAAUAGAUAAUUUUUGCCCUCAGAUCCAACCUCAGAAAAACAGCAACUUCCUCGGCCACGCACCUGUCACCAAUCAGCCCUCGUUACCACCUGCAUUUAAGCCUGCAUGAUCUCGCGUUCCCUCCAUGUUUCUCACCAGCCGCCUGCCCUCAUCACCGCCUGCCACGCAUUCCCUGCCUCGACAACCUGCCAGCACACCUCAAGGACCAUCUACAUUUCCCUUUUUCAAUAAACUGUUCAUCACAACCUCUCAGCCUCCGCCUGCUCUUGGGUCCAGUC